GAUCCAGUAAAGAUGGACUUCACCAUAAUGAAGGAAAGCUGAAACGGUUUAUCAUAUUUUGGCUGCUUGUAAUUUGUUUCUGUAGUUUUUGGAUCUGCACACUGUAACAGCACACAGAGUGCAUAUUAAAAUGUUACUUUUCCCCCAUACACUUAGAAACACUAUGAGUCCUAAAGGAGAGGCUGGAUGAAUGUUGUGUUUCUGCAUAGCACGAAAUGGUUUGACUGGCAAGUGAUAGUGCAUAGCCUGUUUCAGUAACAGGGGAAAAAGAGAGUCAAGGGUCCAUCAGAUUGUCAGCAUACAACUACAGCUGUGCUUUAGAGUCUACAGAAAAAAACACAUCUCCAAUUUUCAGUGACAGCAAUUUGAUACAAGGACCAAAAAGUAUGUGAUGUACUUAAUCUCUGUUUAAUACUUUGUAAUCCAACCCCCUUUAGCUUCCAGGACAGGACGCUGGCCCUGCUAAUAGACAGCUGCCUCAGGCGGUCAAUUCUGGGUGUCAUGAAAGGGCAGCAAAUUGUUGGUUAUUGAUUAUUGUUGUAUUGUUACAGCCAGGGAAAAGAUAGUUGAAAUAGAUUGGCAAGGGAGAGACCCAAGUGUCACAAAGCAAGAUGUGUAUGUUGAGACUGUGGCUUGAGUGGACCCAUGCAGGGCUUGGAGCAUGCCGUAGGGGUCAUGUAACUCGAGUUGUGAGAUGGGUGUAUUCUCAAUUUGUGAUAAUACUCCAUAUAGGUAAAUUCACUCCCAAUUUGACUUGGGUUCAGAGUAACUGCUGACCUCCUCCAUGCUGAGCAGAAGGCAGCAGCAAGGGCAGUAGCAGUUGAGCCCCUGGAUCCUAUUCUUCCCCUUUCCCCACAACUUUUAGCAGCUGCAACCAAAGAAAGGUUUCUGACAUAGCGCCUGAAAUGGCAACCUGCCUUGGGCAUACGAGACUGAGGAUGCAGCUUGUUUAAAAACUAACAAAGCCCUAAAUUGCAUUUACUGCAAUGUUUUGCUAAUCUAGACAUACAUACAUCAGGGAAAGAGGAGUAGACUGCUCAUUCAGAAUUGACAUCAAGACGACGUUCAAGGACAACUUGACAGUUCUGCUUCCUCCUCUAUAGUUGCUUCCUCAGGGAGUCCUAGAGGGAUAAGCAUGAGUCCGUGUGCCACUUGUAUUGGCUACAGCAUUGGCAGAGUUCUUGCUCACUUAUACUGGACUGGCAUUUGGAGCAUAGUCCAAAUCCUAAAAUACCAUGCAGCUUUCUCUUAAUUUUUAUUUUUAUAUAUUUUUUUAUCUUCUCUUUCAAAAUUGCUCAGUAAUCUUCUAUUCUUGGCCAUGGGGGGGGUGUUCAACUAAGGCAUAUUCAGCAUAGACCUAUUACAAUCAAUGUUAAGUAAGUUGAGCCCAUUGAUUUCAACAGGGAAGAAGGUGGUUUCUGCAAGUGCUUUAGAGGGAAGUGAGGGGCAGAUGAGGGUCAUCCACUUGGGAAGAUAGCCCAUCUAAGAGAAGGAAAAUUAAUCCUAAACCUCCUCUGCCUUGCAGGAUAUCUUUGGGAGAAGAAAAAGCUAAGGAAUAAGACUGUUGGAUGGUGCCUUGUACGCCUCCUUCCGGCAAUUCCUGCAGCCAAGCUGGUGCCUAACAUAUUGCUCGUUUUUCCUUUGGACCACAUCUUGUCAUCUGGGCAGCCCAGGACCUCCAUACACACUGCCCAGGCUUGUGCCCCAAGGAGGUCACUUUGGUGAUGAUAACGCAGUGGUUUGACUUCACCCCCAGAGACAGGCUCCAUCAUCUCUCGAGGCAGACGGAUGCCAACAACAACAACUAACAGGGAGGGAAGAGGCACUUGCCCUCCUCUCCUUCUGUCCAUGAAUUGGGUAAAACAAGCCUGAUUUCACCUUGCAAACAUAGCUGGAAUUAAAAGGCUUUUCCCACAUAGGACUGCACUGAAAGGCGACUGGCUUCCUUUUCACAUUUGCAAAUGUAAUUCAUUCCCCUUCUGAGCUCUCUUUUCUUCCUAUGAAGUCGUUUCUUCUCUCAUCCACAGGAGCAAGUUAACAGGGGGUCAGUGCCAUCUAGUGGAGAUAACAGGAAAACACAAACUUGCCCCUCC